GAUGAACGCUAGCUACAGGCUUAACACAUGCAAGUCGAGCGAACCACUUCGGUGGGAAGCGGCGAACGGGUGAGUAACACGUAGGUGAUCUGCCCAUCAGACGGGGACAACGAUUGGAAACGAUCGCUAAUACCGGAUAGGACGAAAGUUUAAAGAUGCUCCUGGCAUCACUGAUGGAUGAGCCUGCGGCGCAUUAGCUAGUUGGUGGGGUAAAGGCCUACCAAGGCGACGAUGCGUAGCCGACCUGAGAGGGUGAACGGCCACACUGGGACUGAGACACGGCCCAG
rnacentral:rRNA from 1 species